rnacentral:rRNA from 1 species
CACGUAGGGGGCAAGCGUUGUCCGGAUUUAUUGGGCGUAAAGAGCGUGUAGGCGGCCAUACAGGUCCGUUGUGAAAACUGGAGGCUUAACCUCCAGACGUCGAUGGAAACCGUAUGGCUAGAGUCCGGAAGAGGAGAGUGGAAUUCCUGGUGUAGCGGUGAAAUGCGCAGAUAUCAGGAAGAACACCCGUGGCGAAGGCGGCUCUCUGGGACGGUACUGACGCUGAGACGCGAAAGCGUGGGGAGCGAACAGG